UGAUUCAGGCGCUGCUGAAUUUAGUUUAUAAAAAGAAAGAAGAAAAGGGCCCCACCACCCCCAGGUUUUCGGAUUGUCCGCCCGCUCAAAACCAUUUGCGCCCCGGACUGCAGAACCCGACGAAUUUCGGGCUCGCCCCUUGUUUCACCGUCACCGUCACCGUCACCGCUCGACCAUCCAUAUAAAGAACCCCCACCGCUCUCAUCUUCUCCAUCCAACAAUCAUCACUUCACUUCCAUACACACCGAUCAGAAAAAAAGCGCGACCGAACCGAAUCAAAGUCUCUAAGAUGAGCUCGACGAGCAAAGCGUGGGUCGUCGCGGCCAGCGUCGCCGCAGUGGAGGCCCUCAAGGACCAAGGAUUCUGCCGGUGGAACUACACCCUACGGUCGAUCCACCAGCGCGCCAAGAACCAGGCCAAGUCCUCCUUCUCUCAGGCCAGCAGCAAGAAGCGAUCUCACCAGCCGUCGACCGCGGCGGCUUCGAGGAGGCUAGCGGGAGAGGCGGAGGCGGAGGGGGCGAAGCAGUCGGAGGAGUCGAUGAGGAAGGUCCUGUACUUGAGCUCUUGGGGUCCGUAUUGAGGUUCUCUGAGUAGUAUUAGAUCGAGAAGACAAUCCAAGUUCUCUUUGCUUGAGAAUGAUGUAAAUUGUAAAUAUGUAUGCUGAAAUUACAGCAAGGCAAUACAUUCCGCGAUAGGACUUUUCCAUUUGCACUACGGUUUACUCCCUCGUUCCCAACGCAUGUCAUUCAUCGACGAUUUUGAUUAACCCGUUUCAUGUAGAGAUA